UGGGGACCACGGUCGCAGGGCUCCCGUCAGUGAGCGAUUGUGGGGUGUUGUCAGGUGUCGUAGGUUCACUGGGUACUCCUUUGGUCGAGGAAAGAAGGUGGCAGGUCUCAGGUUUCAUGGCAGAUUUAUGGAGAGGAGGAGAGACAAAGAUCUUCAGUCUGCUGGUUUACUCCACAAAUAGCUGCAACACCUGGAACUGAACCUAUCCAAAAGCAGGAGCCAGUAGCUUCUUCGUGGUCCCCAGGUAGCAAGAGAGAGAGAGAGACAGAGAGAGACAGAGAAACUGCCACAUGCUUACUCCCUUCCAGUGUGGCUGCAAUAUUUGAGGCUAAAGCUGGCAACGUGGGAUUCACUCCUGGUAUCCAUGAGGGAAGCAGGAAUCCAACAACCCAAAUCAUCACUGCUGCUUCCCAGGAUCUUCU